rnacentral:tRNA from 2 species
GGCGACGUAGCUCAGUUGGCUAGAGCAAACGGUUCAUACCCGUUAGGUCAGCGGUUCGAAUCCACUCGUCGCUACCA